rnacentral:lncRNA from 1 species
AUGUCCCAGCCCAGGUAUGUCUGGGCCAUGUCCCAGCCCAGGUAUGUCUGGGCCAUGUCCCAGCCCAGGUAUGUCUGGGCCAUGUCCAGCCCAGGUAUGUCUGGGCCAUGUCCCAGCCCAGGUAUGUCGGGCCAUGUCCCAGCCCAGGUAUGUCGGCCAUGUCCCAGCCCAGGUAUGUCUGGGCCAUGUCCCAGCCCAGGUAUGUCUGGGCCAUGUCCCAGCCCAGGUUGUGGCCAUGUCCCAGCCCAGGUAUGUCUGGGCCAUGUCCAGCCAGGUAUGUCGGCCAUCCCAGCCCAGGUAUGUCGGGCCAUGAGCCCAGUUUCUGGCCAUGUCCCAGCCCAGUAUGUCUGGGCCAUGUCCCAGCCCAGGUAUGUCUGGCCAUGUCCCAGCCCAGGUAUGUCUGGGCCAUGUCCCAGCCCAGGUAUGUCUGGGGCCAUGUCCCAGACCCCAGGUAUGUCUGGGCCAUGUCCAGCCCAGGUAUGUCUGGGCCAUGUCCCAGCCCAGGUAUGUCUGGCCAUGUCCCAGCCAGGUAUGUGGGCCAUUCCCAGCCCAGGUAUGUCUGGGCCAUGUCCCAGCCCAGGUAUGUCUGGGCCAUGUCCCAGCCAGGCCAUGUCUGGGCCAUGUCCCAGCCAGGUAGUCUGGGCCAUGUCCCAGCCCAGGU